UAACAGGGCAAUACCCUGUCUUUGCGGUAUAGACGACGGUUCUGAAAACCUUUCGACGUAACUAUUCAUUCAAUGAAAAGUUUCACAAUUCAUUAUUGCUCAACAUGGUUGCCAACAAUCGUCAUAGUAAAAAGCUAGGGUGCAUAAUUACGUGCUUAUCGUGAGGUGUACGAUUAUUUAAAGCUAUUUACGGACAAGCUAGUUGUGGACAUUACUUGGCGUGUAACUGCGGAGAAACCCAGCAUCCAACGAUUCUCAACAUAUUUCAUUGUAAAAGAAAUGGUUAUUAAUAAAUUUCUUAUGUCGACGGAGCUGGACCUAAAUAACAUUGUUCAGC